CUACGGGUGGCUGCAGUGAGGAAUAUUGCACAAUGGGGGGAACUCUGAUGCAGCAACGCCGCGUGGAGGAUGACACUUUUCGGAGCGUAAACUCCUUUUAUAUAGGAAGAAGAUGACGGUACUAUAUGAAUAAGCGCCGGCUAACUCCGUGCCAGCAGCCGCGGUAAUACGGAGGGCGCAAGCGUUACUCGGAAUCACUGGGCGUAAAGAGCGUGUAGGCGGAUUAAAAAGUCAGAAGUGAAAUCCUAUAGCUUAACUAUAGAACUGCUUCUGAAACUCUUAAUCUAGAAUAUGGGAGAGGUAGAUGGAAUUUCUGGUGUAGGGGUAAAAUCCGUAGAGAUCAGAAGGAAUACCGAUUGCGAAGGCGAUCUACUAGAACAUUAUUGACGCUGAGACGCGAAAGCGUGGGGAGCAAACAGGAUUAGAUACCCGCGUAGUC
rnacentral:rRNA from 1 species